GCGGAUAUGGUUUAGUGGUAAAACGCGUCCUUGCCAAGGACGAGUCGGGAGUUCGAUUCUCCCUAUCCGCACCA
rnacentral:tRNA from 1 species